UAGGGAAUCUUCCACAAUGGACGCAAGUCUGAUGGAGCAACGCCGCGUGAGUGAAGAAGGUUUUCGGAUCGUAAAGCUCUGUUGUUGGUGAAGAAGGAUAGAGGUAGUAACUGGCCUUUAUUUGACGGUAAUCAACCAGAAAGUCACGGCUAACUACGUGCCAGCAGCCGCGGUAAUACGUAGGUGGCAAGCGUUGUCCGGAUUUAUUGGGCGUAAAGCGAGCGCAGGCGGAAGAAUAAGUCUGAUGUGAAAGCCCUCGGCUUAACCGAGGAACUGCAUCGGAAACUGUUUUUCUUGAGUGCAGAAGAGGAGAGUGGAAUUCCAUGUGUAGCGGUGGAAUGCGUAGAUAUAUGGAAGAACACCAGUGGCGAAGGCGGCUCUCUGGUCUGCAACUGACGCUGAGGCUCGAAAGCAUGGGUAGCGAACAGG
rnacentral:rRNA from 1 species